UUAAGCGACUAAGCGUACACGGUGGAUGCCCUGGCAGUCAGAGGCGAUGAAGGACGUGCUAAUCUGCGAUAAGCGUCGGUAAGGUGAUAUGAACCGUUAUAACCGGCGAUUUCCGAAUGGGGAAACCCAGUGUGUUUCGACACACUAUCAUUAACUGAAUCCAUAGGUUAAUGAGGCGAACCGGGGGAACUGAAACAUCUAAGUACCCCGAGGAAAAGAAAUCAACCGAGAUUCCCCCAGUAGCGGCGAGCGAACGGGGAGCAGCCCAGAGUCUGAAUCAGUGUGUGUGUUAGUGGAAGCGUCUGGAAAGGCGCGCGAUACAGGGUGACAGCCCCGUACACAAAAAUGCACAUAUUGUGAGCUCGAUGAGUAGGGCGGGACACGUGGUAUCCUGUCUGAAUAUGGGGGGACCAUCCUCCAAGGCUAAAUACUCCUGACUGACCGAUAGUGAACCAGUACCGUGAGGGAAAGGCGAAAAGAACCCCGGCGAGGGGAGUGAAAAAGAACCUGAAACCGUGUACGUACAAGCAGUGGGAGCCUCUUUUAUGGGGUGACUGCGUACCUUUUGUAUAAUGGGUCAGCGACUUAUAUUCUGUAGCAAGGUUAACCGAAUAGGGGAGCCGAAGGGAAACCGAGUCUUAACUGGGCGUUAAGUUGCAGGGUAUAGACCCGAAACCCGGUGAUCUAGCCAUGGGCAGGUUGAAGGUUGGGUAACACUAACUGGAGGACCGAACCGACUAAUGUUGAAAAAUUAGCGGAUGACUUGUGGCUGGGGGUGAAAGGCCAAUCAAACCGGGAGAUAGCUGGUUCUCCCCGAAAGCUAUUUAGGUAGCGCCUCGUGAAUUCAUCUCCGGGGGUAGAGCACUGUUUCGGCAAGGGGGUCAUCCCGACUUACCAACCCGAUGCAAACUGCGAAUACCGGAGAAUGUUAUCACGGGAGACACACGGCGGGUGCUAACGUCCGUCGUGAAGAGGGAAACAACCCAGACCGCCAGCUAAGGUCCCAAAGUCAUGGUUAAGUGGGAAACGAUGUGGGAAGGCCCAGACAGCCAGGAUGUUGGCUUAGAAGCAGCCAUCAUUUAAAGAAAGCGUAAUAGCUCACUGGUCGAGUCGGCCUGCGCGGAAGAUGUAACGGGGCUAAACCAUGCACCGAAGCUGCGGCAGCGACGCUUAUGCGUUGUUGGGUAGGGGAGCGUUCUGUAAGCCUGUGAAGGUGUGCUGUGAGGCAUGCUGGAGGUAUCAGAAGUGCGAAUGCUGACAUAAGUAACGAUAAAGCGGGUGAAAAGCCCGCUCGCCGGAAGACCAAGGGUUCCUGUCCAACGUUAAUCGGGGCAGGGUGAGUCGACCCCUAAGGCGAGGCCGAAAGGCGUAGUCGAUGGGAAACAGGUUAAUAUUCCUGUACUUGGUGUUACUGCGAAGGGGGGACGGAGAAGGCUAUGUUGGUCGGGCGACGGUUGUCCCGGUUUAAGCGUGUAGGCUGGUUUUCCAGGCAAAUCCGGAAAAUCAAGGCUGAGGCGUGAUGACGAGGCACUACGGUGCUGAAGCAACAAAUGCCCUGCUUCCAGGAAAAGCCUCUAAGCAUCAGGUAACAUCAAAUCGUACCCCAAACCGACACAGGUGGUCAGGUAGAGAAUACCAAGGCGCUUGAGAGAACUCGGGUGAAGGAACUAGGCAAAAUGGUGCCGUAACUUCGGGAGAAGGCACGCUGAUAUGUAGGUGAAGUCCCUCGCGGAUGGAGCUGAAAUCAGUCGAAGAUACCAGCUGGCUGCAACUGUUUAUUAAAAACACAGCACUGUGCAAACACGAAAGUGGACGUAUACGGUGUGACGCCUGCCCGGUGCCGGAAGGUUAAUUGAUGGGGUCAGCGCAAGCGAAGCUCUUGAUCGAAGCCCCGGUAAACGGCGGCCGUAACUAUAACGGUCCUAAGGUAGCGAAAUUCCUUGUCGGGUAAGUUCCGACCUGCACGAAUGGCGUAAUGAUGGCCAGGCUGUCUCCACCCGAGACUCAGUGAAAUUGAACUCGCUGUGAAGAUGCAGUGUACCCGCGGCAAGACGGAAAGACCCCGUGAACCUUUACUAUAGCUUGACACUGAACAUUGAGCCUUGAU
rnacentral:rRNA from 1 species